UACGUAGGGAGCAAGCGUUGUCCGGAAUCAUUGGGCGUAAAGCGCGCGUAGGCGGCCCCGUAAGUCCGCUGUGAAAGUCAAAGGCUCAACCUUUGAAAGCCGGUGGAUACUGUGGGGCUAGGGUCCGGAAGAGGCGAGUGGAAUUCCUGGUGUAGCGGUGGAAUGCGCAGAUAUCAGGAGGAACACCAAUAGCGAAGGCAGCUCGCUGGGACGGUACUGACGCUAAGGCGCGAAAGCGUGGGGAGCGAACAGG
rnacentral:rRNA from 1 species